CUCGCCUCGGCGGCUCUAUAUAAGAGAGGGGCGGAUGCAUAUGCUUGCGUACUCCACAGCAGGCCGGGCGGGGCGAGCGACUGGGAGCGUGAGAGAAGAGUCGAGCGACCGAGAGCGAUGAUUGCUGAGGAGCCGCCGGCGAAGCGGCAGAAGACGACGGCGCCGUCCGGCGAGGCGCCGAUGCCGAGGAGCCGGAUGCUGCGCCGGACCCUGUUCGCGGUGAUGUUCUUGGUGCGAAUGAGCGUCAGGAUCGCAAGCUUGACCAAAAUCCGCCUCAUGAUUCAGAGACAUGUUGGUCUGGCCUUUCGAUUGGUUUCAGGGUAAGAUCUUCUUUCCCUUUGGUGAUGUAGACCUUUAAGUGUCUCCCUCUCUUAGAAGUUAGAACGACAUAAUUUUUUUCAUAAGAAUAGACAAUUAAGAUUUUACAUUGUAGAUUACUAGUAUGGGUUAGCCCAAAUAUAUUGUUUUCAUGUUUUCUUUUCAUGAGACCGUAAAAUUUAUAUGUAGGUCGCUAUCAGCCUUGAUUGAGAGGCACUGGGAUCGAUUGGUAGGACCAUACCUCUAUUUCAUACCAAAGUUUGUGUUUUCAGUUUACUAGCAUCUUUCUUUGAUAAAAUCGAAGUAUGCUUUGUGAUAUAGUUAGCAUUCAACAAAGUGUGGUAUCAACGUAUUAUGUUUUUCCAACUUUACACAUUUCCUAUAUUUUAUUUGUAAUUCUGUUUCCUUGUGAAAUCUCACUCCCAUUUAGAUGAACUUGCAACUCUUUCUUUCUCUAUUUAAAAUGACUAGGCAAAUAUGUCCGUGCGUUGCAACGGGCAAAAUUGGUAUAAGUAUCGAAUACGUAUAGUUGCUUGUGCGUUAAUUUGUAGGGAUCUACAUGAUCGAGUCGUGGACGGAGGGCUUGUCCGACUCACAUACGGGAUGGAUUAAGGCCCACCUAUCAAUAACACAAGGCGGACCAAACCAAAAAUUUAGGCGG